rnacentral:rRNA from 1 species
UAAGGAAUAUUGGUCAAUGGACGCAAGUCUGAACCAGCCAUGCCGCGUGAAGGAUGAAGGUCCUCUGGAUUGUAAACUUCUUUUAUCUGGGACGAAAACGGGAUUUUUAUCUCAAUUGACGGUACCAGAGGAAUAAGCACCGGCUAACUCCGUGCCAGCAGCCGCGGUAAUACGGAGGGUGCAAGCGUUAUCCGGAUUCACUGGGCUUAAAGGGUGCGUAGGUGGGCAGGUAAGUCAGUGGUGAAAUCUCCGGGCUUAACCCGGAAACUGCCGUUGAUACUAGUUGUCUUGAAUAUUGUGGAGGUAAGCGGAAUAUGUCAUGUAGCGGUGAAAUGCUUAGAUAUGACAUAGAACACCAAUUGCGAAGGCAGCUUACUACACAAUCAUUGACGCUGAGGCACGAAAGCGUGGGGAUCAAACA